CGGCCGGUGGCGGCGGGAGGCGCCCGGACCGCGCCGGGCAUGGUGUGCGGGGACCCCUGCACCAUGGAGCUGGAGAACAUCGUGGCCAACACCGUCCUGCUCAAGGCACGGGAAGGAGGCGGCGGCAAGAGGAAAGGCCGGAGCAAGAAGUGGAGGGAGAUCCUGCGGUUCCCGCACAUCAGCCAGUGCGACGAGCUGCGGAAGGGCCUGGAGCAGGACUACGGCAGCCUGUGCCAGCGGCAGCCCAUCGGCCGCCUGCUCUUCCGGCAGUUCUGUGAGACGCGGCCGGAGCUCCUGAGCUGCAUCCGCUUCCUGGACGCCGUGGAGGAGUACGAACUCUCCCCAGAUGAGAAGCGGAAGGAGAUGGGGGAAGAGAUCAUCCAGCGGUUCCUCAGGCAGGAGUCCCCAGAUUCCCUGCCCGAGGUGGGCCACCCCCACGCCAGUGAGUACCUGCAGGACCUGCAGAAGAGCCCCUGCAAGGACCUGUUCAGCAGCUGCCUGCGCCCCCUGCACCAGUUCCUGAGCGGGGACCCCUUUGCUGACUACCGGGCCAGCAUGUACUUCGACCGGUUCCUGCAGUGGAAGUACCUGGAGAGGCAGGCUGUCACCAAGGACACCUUCCGGCAGUACCGGAUCCUGGGCAAGGGCGGGUUCGGAGAGGUGUGUGCCUGCCAGGUGCGGGCCACGGGCAAGAUGUAUGCCUGCAAGAAACUGGAGAAGAAGCGGAUCAAGAAGCGGAAAGGGGAGGCGAUGGCCCUGAACGAGAAGCAGAUCCUGGAGAAGGUCAACAGCCGGUUCGUGGUGAGCCUGGCCUAUGCCUACGAGACGAAGGACGCUCUGUGCCUGGUGCUGACCAUCAUGAACGGGGGAGACCUCAAGUUCCACAUCUACAACAUGGGGAACCCCGGCUUUGAGGACAAGCGCGUGGCCUUCUACGCAGCAGAGAUCUGCUGUGGGCUCCAGCACCUGCACCAGGAGGGCAUCGUCUACAGGGACCUGAAGCCAGAGAAUAUCCUGCUGGAUGACAAUGGCCAUAUCAGGAUCUCUGACCUGGGGCUGGCUGUCAAGAUCCCCGAGGGUGAGACCAUCCACGGCCGCGUGGGCACCGUCGGCUACAUGGCCCCGGAGGUGAUCAGCAACGAGCGCUACACCUUCAGCCCCGACUGGUGGGGCCUGGGCUGCCUGGUGUACGAGAUGAUCGAGGGGCAGUCGCCCUUCCGCGCCCGCAAGGAGCGGGUGAAGCGGGAGGAGGUGGAGAAGCGGGUGCAGGAGGAGCAGGAGCUCUACUCGGACAAGUUCAGUGAGGACGCUCAGGCCAUCUGCAAGUUGCUCCUGGCCAAGGACCCCGGGGUGCGGCUGGGCUGCGGGGCCGGCAGGGCGGCCGAGGUGAAGCAACAUCCCUUCUUCAGGACCAUCAACUUCAAGCGGCUGGAGGCCGGAAUCAUGACCCCCCCCUUCGUGCCGGACCCGCGGGCGGUUUAUUGCAAGGACGUGCUGGACAUCGAGCAGUUCUCCACGGUGAAGGGCGUCAACUUGGACAAAACCGACAGUGAUUUCUACGCCAAAUUCGCCACGGGCAGCGUCUCCAUCCCCUGGCAGAACGAGAUGAUCGAGACCGAGUGUUUCAAGGACCUCAACGUGUUUGGGCCCAGCGGGACCCGCUCCCCCGACCUGGACUGGCAGCGGCUGCCCGAGCCCCCCAGGCGCAGCCUUUUGCAGCGGCUCUUCCGGCGACACCCGGCCGACUACACCAUUGGCACCUCUGUCCACGCCCCCAGCCCAGCUGCUGUGAACUCACACCCUCCUGUGGCCAAAUCCUCCUGCCAGGCACCAGCACCGGCACCGUCUUGACCCCUCGGGGGGCCCCCAGCCCCCGUGUGCCCUCUCAGGGUUAUCCCGGAGCAGUGCCAGGGCCGGGGGCUCCGGGGAUGCUCACGGAGGGGAGGGGGACGCUGGCACGGGCUGAUGUGUGUGGGCAGGGGGCGAUGGGGGCAGAGGGGUGGAAGCUGCCUUGGCCCCAACCCUGCCAGCUCCCCACCCCUCCAGCCUGUUCCUGGGGGCUUCCACUGCAGGACCACCUCCCACCAGCUCCCCUCCCCACUGCCAGGGGAGGGGGCCAGGGCACAGACCUGUUUCUGCUGCUUUUGAGCCCAUUAUCUUAUCGCCGGGUCAGAGCGUGACCUCUGCGGGCAUCGGAGUGGGGCUGUGGUUUAUCUGUGCUCUCCAAAUAGCAACAUGGGCAGCCUUGGAGUGGGGGGACACCCCGGCCCCCCUGGCCAUGCUGCAGCAGGAGGGACGGGGUCACCCCGACAGAGCCUCCCCCCGGAGAAGCACGGCCUCCCCUGCUCCGGCCACUGCGAUGGGAAGCAGGCUGGGAGAGCGGAAUUUUCUCGAAGGUGGUUGGGAAGGGGGGUGUGAGGGGCUCCCCCCAUCCUCACAAGGCAGCUCCAGGCAGCCUCAGGGUUCCUGGGCCCCCCAUCUCUUCAGCCCCUGGUGAAUCUCUGGCACCUUUGGUCAGCGUUGAUCCGGUUUUGUAUAUUUUGUACAUUUGUGAAUAUUUGUACCUCGAGCCCUGUUGUACAUUUCUUAAGCGAAAAGCUGCAAACGGAGCUGCGUGGUGACUUUGUGGAGGGACUUGAGGGGCGUUUCGGGGGGGCUGUGGGGGCUUUCUCGGGUGUUUUACCUCCCCCAGCAUGUUCUCCCCCCUCCUUGCCCUGCGGGAUGUGGGUGGGGGGUGCUGGGUGCCCAUCCCGGGGUGGGGCUGUGCUGGUUUCCCAGGCAUCCCUUGCUGGCACGCGGGACAUGACCACGUGCUGCCCGUGCCCCCAGCCCUGUCCCCAGAAGAACAGGGCUCAGCCGAGGGGCUGGCUGGGUCCAGGCAGGUCCGAGCUGUGGCCAGAGCCUUGCCCUGCCCGGCUGCUGGAGCUCGGUGGGCUCAGCCGACCAGGCCAGUUGUGUUCUGAUGGAGAGACCCCUUCCUGGUGCCCAAGGCUCGGUGCAUGCAUCAGUGUGGGGACCUCAAGGGACAUCCAGAGGAGAUGCUGAGGCCACAUCAGGAGCUGGCAGGUGGGAGCAGGUGGGUGAAGCCCAGAGCGGGGAGAGCUGCGGCACGACCUGGGAAUCGCAGCUGUGGGACCGUGGCUGCAGUGAGGAGUUCCCAGUAAACAUUUGGGAAGGGGACGGUGCAGCCUCCGGCUUCCUCCUGGUCCCUCCAGCACCUUUGUCUGGUCACACAUCGCUGACGUGAACAUGAGGUGCUUUCUGCACAUGACAGAGGACGAUGGAAACGAGCAUCCUGAGGAGCAGCAGGAACAUUCUGGAUGGCAGGUGGGACCCAAAUCAUCUAGGGGGGGGCUGGGGACAAGCAGGGGGAGGUGAGGGGCUCCCCAGGGCUGGUGCAGCAAUGGGGUGACCUCCCCCUGGGCCAAGUUGUUGCAACAGUGGGGAGGAAGGUCAGGCUCCCCGCAGGAGGGUGCAGGGGUUGACGUCAAAGGAAGCAGCUGUGAUUCACGGGUUCCUGGGAGCACUGGUCUCCGGGCCAUAACUCAUCCCAGAAAUGUCAUUUCAGCCUUGAGCGUUAUCGCUGCUCUGCUGUUGCCCACCACUCCCAGCCCUGGGACAGAUAACCAGGCUCAGGGGUAGGGGGGCUGCACGGGACUGCCCCUUUCUCCCAGCCCAGGCUCAACAGCUCAAUGUGUUUAAUAUUCAGCUCUAUAUGGGCUGUCCUGGUUCUUGUGUGCAGCAUUUGCUGAGGUUGGGCUGAGCCUGGCUGGGUUAUUCCAGGAUGGCUCUGUCCCGAGAUGGUGUUGUCCAUUGUUGUUAUUAGCCAUUGUUAUUCAUCCAUGACAAUCAUCCUCGAUGACCUUGUAGGUCUUUUCCAACCUUACUGAUUCUGUGGUUCCGUGUUUGCCCACCGACACCUGUCAGAAUUAAUUAUCACCUGUCCUUACCCUCAGCUGAUGGCCCCUGUGCCACAGGGUCUGU